rnacentral:rRNA from 1 species
GCUGGCGGCAGGCCUAACACAUGCAAGUCGAACGGCAGCGGGUAGGAAGCUUGCUUCCUAUGCCGGCGAGUGGCGGACGGGUGAGGAACACAUCGGAAUCUACUCCGUCGUGGGGGAUAACGUAGGGAAACUUACGCUAAUACCGCAUACGACCUAAGGGUGAAAGUGGGGGACCGCAAGGCCUCACGCGAUGGAAUGAGCCGAUGUCCGAUUAGCUAGUUGGCGGGGUAAAGGCCCACCAAGGCGACGAUCGGUAGCUGGUCUGAGAGGAUGAUCAGCCACACUGGGACUGAGACACGGCCCAGACUCCUACGGGAGGCAGCAGUGGGGAAUAUUGGACAAUGGGCGAAAGCCUGAUCCAGCCAUGCCGCGUGGGUGAAGAAGCCUUCGGGUUGUAAAGCCCUUUUGUUGGGGAAGAAAUCCUGCUGGCUAAUACCCGGCGGGGAUGACGGUACCCAAAGAAUAAGCACCGGCUAACUUCGUGCCAGCAGCCGCGGUAA